CUGUGAAGGAGGUGGAAGAGGAGCCAAAGGCGGGAGCCGCAGUUGGUGACCUCAGCAUCCUCUGCUAACACUGC
rnacentral:lncRNA from 1 species